rnacentral:rRNA from 1 species
UGUAGUCUCAACGAUGAUGCAUACAUGUCAACUAUGGGUGUUUGCUCCAAUAAUUCGCAUUGGUCUCAAACCAAUGACAUCCAUUUCGAAGACCAUGAGUUCGAGGUGGACGAGGAGGGUGAGGGCAUUGUCGACGCGCCGAAAGGAAGAGCGGGCAAUUACACCAACAUCGAUGAUAUCUUACUAUGCAAUACUUGGGCGGUUUAG